UAUGAAGAGGAGAGAUGAUGAUCAGGACCAGGUGUGCAGAUGGCUGAUGGGAUACAGGUGCGGGUAAUCAGAAACCCCAACUGGCUACAUUGCCCGGCAACCAGACAGGGUGCGUUCCAGGACGCUGGAAAAAACACUCCAGGACAGAACAUAGGCAAAAAACAGACUCAGGAAACGGGAUUCGUGACAGAAACAGACGAUAUUCUACCAUUCUGUACGAACGUCUUUACCAGAACUCCAAACAACACAAGCAGCUUUAACACACAGACACACCCCCCUGGAACCUCCAGCCAAUCAAACAUAAUCUAGCCCCUAAGACGCAUCGCACUACUUUGGCACAAGUGCAUCGCAGAAUCAGCGAGGCCCGAGAGGGGCGCCUGGUCUGAAAAUGAUUCAAGAACAUGGAUACAGUUUGACCCCAUUAUACAUUUGUUGAUAGAAUAUGUUAAAACAAUGUCAACUAAUGUUUAAUUUCAGACUCCAACAAUAUCUAUACAAACAGAAUCUCCAAAGCCAGAGGAGAAAGGGGCGCGGUAUCCAGGAUUCCUCAGAACAGCGUCAAAAUAACACAGCUCAUUUAACUAUAUAUUGUUAAAAUGUUAAUAUAUAUUUUUUAUAUAAUAUAUAUUUUAUUUUUAACACCCUAUUUUGUAUAUAUUUUUCUUUCAGAGUCCUCCCAGGCGUAUACCACCACAGAAGGCCCAAUACGUGGAGAGGACGUGGUCGAGGAGGAAUUCGGCGCCCAGGACAGACAUAGUAAAAUAUGAGUAAAUAUUGAAGUCUGAUAGUUUCAAGGCUUUAGUAAACAACACUUCUGAGGUAGACGAUUUGUUGAUGUAUGAGGUGGCCAAACAGCUUGAUACAGCCAAUUCUGAGGUAGACGAUUUGUUGAUGUAUGAGGUGGCCAAACAGCUUGAUACAGCCAAUUCUGAGGUAGACGAUUUGUUGAUGUAUGAGGUGGCCAAACAGCUUGAUACAGCCAAUUCUGAGGUAGACGAUUUGUUGAUGUAUGAGGUGGCCAAACAGCUUGAAUGAGACAGGGCCGACAUCUCCACCUAUAAUUCAGACACUUGAAAACCUGUUAUUACAGAUACCGGCAGAACUCAUAUCCUUAAUUAACCAAAUGAAUGAGAGGACAACAUCCUUAACACCCUCCCUGCCACACACACACCUCCUUAAACUCCCAUGUCCGAGGAGUCUGAGCAACCACACAAUGUUUUUGAGGAAUUGGAAAAUGGUGUAAUAAAUCAGUGUCGAUGGUUUUGAUAGAAGUGUUUGUGUUGUUUACAGAAAUAAAUACAGCAAUACAGAGA